rnacentral:rRNA from 1 species
UGGCGGACGGGUGAGUAACACGUAGGUAACCUCCUUAGAAGCGGGGGACAACAUUUGGAAACAGAUGCUAAUACCGCAUAACAACGUUGUUCGCAUGAACAACGCUUAAAAGAUGGCUUCUCGCUAUCACUUCUGGAUGGACCUGCGGUGCAUUAGCUUGUUGGUGGGGUAACGGCCUACCAAGGCGAUGAUGCAUAGCCGAGUUGAGGGACUGAUCGGCCACAAUGGGACUGAGACACGGCCCAUACUCCUACGGGAGGCAGCAGUAGGGAAUCUUCCACAAUGGGCGCAAGCCUGAUGGAGCAACACCGCGUGAGUGAAGAAGGGUUUCGGCUCGUAAAGCUCUGUUGUUAAAGAAGAACACGUAUGAGAGUAACUGUUCAUACGUUGACGGUAUUUAACCAGAAAGUCACGGCUAACUACGUGCCAGCAGCCGCGGUAAUACGUAGGUGGCAAGCGUUAUCCGGAUUUAUUGGGCGUAAAGAGAGUGCAGGCGGUUUUCUAAGUCUGAUGUGAAAGCCUUCGGCUUAACCGAAGAAGUGCAUCGGAAACUGGAUAACUUGAGUGCAGAAGAGGGUAGUGGAACUCCAUGUGUAGCGGUGGAAUGCGUAGAUAUAUGGAAGAACACCAGUGGCGAAGGCGGCUACCUGGUCUGCA